UAGGGAAUCUUCGGCAAUGGACGAAAGUCUGACCGAGCAACGCCGCGUGAGUGAAGAAGGUUUUCGGAUCGUAAAACUCUGUUGUUAGAGAAGAACAAGGACGUUAGUAACUGAACGUCCCCUGACGGUAUCUAACCAGAAAGCCACGGCUAACUACGUGCCAGCAGCCGCGGUAAUACGUAGGUGGCAAGCGUUUUCCGGAUUUAUUGGGCGUAAAGCGAGCGCAGGCGGUUUCUUAAGUCUGAUGUGAAAGCCCCCGGCUCAACCGGGGAGGGUAAUUGGAAACUGGGAGACGUGAGUGCAGAAGAGGAGAGUGGAAUUACAUGUGUAGCGGUGAAAUGCGUAGAUAUAUGGAGGAACACCAGUGGCGAAGGCGGCUCUCUGGUAUGUAACUGACGCUGAGGCUCGAAAGCGUGGGGAGCAAACAGG
rnacentral:rRNA from 1 species